AGAGUUUGAUCCUGGCUCAGGAUGAACGCUGGCGGCGUGCUUAACACAUGCAAGUCAAGGGGGCCCAGCAAUGGGCAACCGGCGAACGGGUGCGUAACACGUGAGCAACCUACCGAACUGUGGGGGAUAGCCGGCCUAACGGCCGAGUAAUACCGCAUACGCUUUCGAUGAGGCAUUUCAUUGAAAGGAAACCUACGGGACAGAUCGAGGGGCUCGCGGCCUAUCAGCUAGUUGGCGAGGUAACGGCUCACCAAGGCGACGACGGGUAGCUGGUCUGAGAGGAUGGCCAGCCACAUUGGGACUGAGAUACGGCCCAGACUCCUACGGGAGGCAGCAGUGGGGAAUCUUGCGCAAUGGCCUAACGGCUGACGCAGCGACGCCGCGUGUGGGAUGAAGCUCUUCGGAGUGUAAACCACUGUUGCGA
rnacentral:rRNA from 1 species